ACUUGGUACAGAGCUACACAAGGUAGCAGAUUGUUUUCGUUGAAGUAACUGUAGAUCCUCGUGGGGUAGCUUUAAACGUAACAGAUCCACACUGGGUGGUAACUUCAAGUAGCUGUCUUUUUUAUCUUCAAAAACAGAACCAGAGUUGGUCUUUAGCGCCGCUGGAGAGUACCAUUAACAUCUGAGAAGACCUAGUGAUGCUAUCCAUUGUUAUCCCUGAUGGCCUGGAGUGAAGAAAGACCGGCGACGGCUGUCCCUCCGGCAAGGCGGGGGAAGAACCCGGUGGGGAAGAACGAGUACCACCAGUACUGGCUCUUGACCAAUGGAAAUAACUAAAAGUAGUAGGUGAGAUUUUACCAAAGAGGGAAAGUCAACUCAAGAAACUUCGGAUAAACCAGGGGUUAAAGACUUUCCUUGGUAGAAGUGCCUGAGAGAGAAAUCGCCUUUUUGCGAGGAUUUUCUUAAACAAAGAGAAAAGUUACAUUGGUUGGAUGUUGGUGAUCAGAAUAACAUGACGUGCCAUCAGAACGAGACAAGCUCGAAAUACUAUUCGGGAAAUCAAAUGUAUGGAUGGUAACAUUGCAAAAACUCAGAAUGAUAUUAAACAGGAGGCAGAGCGAUUCUUCUCAGAAUUUAUGAAUCUUCAGCUUACGGAUUAUCAAGGAACUACAGAGGAAAAACAACAUGACUUGCUGGAGUCUAGAUGUACUCCGGGGGACUGUUGUAUGUUGGAGGCUGAGGCUAAGGAGGAAAAGAUUCACAAAGUGCUAUUUUCUAUGUCGGCUAACAAAUCACCAUGUCCUGAUGGAUAUCCAUGUGAGUUUUUCAAAACAUCCUAGCCUUUUAUAGCUACAGAUUUCACAGUGGCGAUUCCGUCGGUGUUCAGAUAUGGGUUUCUGCCUAAGGGAGUAAAUUCCACAAUUCUUGCUUUGAUACCGAAGAAAAUUGAAUAUUUGGAGAUGAGAGACUAUAGACCGAUUGCUUGCUGCAACGUCCUAUACAAGGUUGUGUCCAAAAUCAUAGCAAAUAGAUUGAAGAUGCUGCUACCAAGGAUCAAUUACUCAGAACCAGUCAACAUUUGUGAAGGGGAGACUUCUUAUGGAGAAUGUGUUACUGGUCUCAGAGCUAGUGAAGGAUUAUCAUAAGGAAUCAAUUUCUUCAAGAUGUGUAAUGAAAAUCGAUAUAUUCAAGGCGUUUGACUAUGUUCAGUGAAGCUUUAUUCUGAAGAGUUUGGCGGCGUUGAGAUUUCCUGAGAAGUUCAUCCACUGGAUAAAGCUUUGUAUAACUAGUCCUUCAUUCUCGGUUCAAGUAAAUGGGGAUCUAGCAGGGUAUUUCCAGAGUGGUAGGGGUCUGAGACAGGGAUGUUCUUUAUCUCCUUACAUGUUCGUGAUUUGUAUGAACGUCUUGUCUAGUAAAAUAGACAAAGCUGUAAAGGAGAAAAAGUUCAAGUUUCACCCGCGUUGUUCCUCCCUUUCUCUUACCCAUCUUUGUUUCGCUGAUGACCUAAUGGUAUUUGUAGAAGGGUCUAAAGAGUCAGUCGAAGGAGCUUUAUCUGUGUUUGAUGGGUUUGCAGUCUGGUCAAGACUGAAAAUUAGUUUGGAGAAGUCCACGAUAUACAUGGCUGGGGUUUCCGUAGAUGAGAAGAGGAAAAUUCUAACAAACUUCCCUUUUGAAGUCAGAUAUCCAGGUCUUCCUCUUAUGACUUAGUCUAUGAGAAAGCAAGAUUAUUAGUCUUUGGUGGAAAAAGUAAGAAAUAUGAUCAACACUUGGACAUGUAGAUUCUUAUCUUAUGUAGGAAGAUUGCAAUUGAUAAAAACAAUAUUGAUGAGCAUUAUGGGCUGCUGUUUUCUGUUUACCAAGCCAGUGUAUUAAAGUUGAACAAUUGUGCUCUACGUUUCUAUGGUCAGGGCCUGAACUUAAAUCAACAGGUGCUAAAGUCGCUUGGACGUAUGUGUGUACGGUAAAGAGCUAGUGAAGGUGGGUUGGGAAUAAGAGCUCUCAAGGAAGUAAAUAAGGUUUAUGGACUGAAACUAGUAUGGAGAAUGCUCUCGGAUGAAUCAUUAUGGGAGAAAUGGAUAAGAGUCAAUCUGCUGAAGAAGAAAACCUUAUGGGAAGUGAAUAUGAAAACGCAAACAUGAUCCUGGAUGUGGAGAAAGAUGUUCAAAUUGAGAGACAUUGCUAAAAGCUUUUAUAAGAAAGAAGUUAGGAAUGGUCGACAUACUUCUUUCUGGUAUGAUAGAUGGUCUGAAAGAGGUGUUCUCUCGGAUAUACUGGGGGAGAGAGGCAUCAUAGACAUCGGAAUUAGAAGGGAAUCUACUAUGGAGGAUGCAAUCACGUGUAACCGGAGAAGAAGAAGGAAUCGUACGGAGCUGUUGAAUGACAUUGAAGCUGACUUAAAUAGAGUAAAAGGAAACUUGAGUCAUCUGGUGGAGGAUGUUACCUUGUGGAGAAGAGAGUCAGGUUAUAAAAGAAAUUUUUCGACUCAUGAGACUUGGAGUAUAUUGAGAGACACCAAGGCAAAUUGUGAUUGGGCUAGAGGUAUCUGGUUUUCUCAAGCUACUCUAAAGUAUGCUUUUAUUGCUUGGUUGGCUACACUGAAUAGGCUUUCCACUAUGGAAAGAAUCUCGCGGUGGAGUUAAAGAGUUGAUACAACUUGUGUAUUAUGGAAGAAAGCAGCGGAGUCGAGGGAUCAUUUUUUUCUGAGUGUUCUUACUCUUCACAGAUUUGAGAAUAUCUCGCUAAAGGGAUUUUGCUCGACUCUUAUACAAUUAGUUGGGCUACCAUUCUGCAGUUGAUUUCUGAUAGGAAGAUGGAGAAAAAGAAACUGUUUUGCAUAAGGUAUGUGUUCCAGGCUGCUAUGUAUGCUCAGUGGUGUGACAUGAACAAAUUGAAACAUGGUAAUAAACUUAUUCCCAUGGAAGUGCUGAAGAAGAUGAUUGAUAAGGGUGUGAGAAAUAAACUUAGCUUGGUGAGAUCGAAGGGAAUAAGAGGCAUGGAAGGUGAGUUACAAUUUUGGUUUGUUACAAGAUUGUGAAUAGCUUAAAGUUACAAUAGUCUAAGAUCUAGUAUUUUAGUAAAAUCUUUCAUACAAGGAUGCACUUGAUGUAAAGAGGUCUUUUUUGAUGAAUACAAAAUUAACAUUCAUUAAAAAAAAAAAGAUUUUUUGGAAACUUACUCAAUCUUCAAAAACUGAACAAAACUUCGGAAAUUUUCACAAGAGUAUUGGACAAUUGUUAUUUGUAACAUAUUUAUACUGUAUUGUUUCCAUACGUUUUUGAAACAAAACCUAACUUGUUUCGGUACUUGUUUGUAUUCUCUAACAUGUAUGUUUCGGAUAAUAUAAAAAAAUUUAAAAAGAUAUUCGGAAAAAUUCAUAUGUUUACUGAAAUUUUGCCAAGUUCUCGGAAAAUUUUCUCAAAAGUCUCGGAAUUUUCACGUGUUUAAUAAAAAUUUCAUAUGCAAUAUACAGUUUAAAUUGUAGAAACUGAAUCUAACCCCGCCAUCGUAAAUUCUAAUAGCCAUUUUAAGUUUCUUCAAAGCUUAUAUACUUUUAUUUAGAAAAUCUAUAUUAUGAAUCCUAAUGUACGCGACUCAGUUGUUUUUCUCUUCGGUUCUUGCUUUUACUAUAAUAUUAUUUGUUUAUUAAAUCUCAUUUUAAUAUUUUUUACACAAAAGUAUCAUUUUAAAAUUUCAUUUUCAAAUUAUAUUUAUUUUCAACUUAAUAUUAAUAGAAAAUUGUAUUAAUUUUAUAAAUAAUUUUAUUUAUCUUAAAUACUAUUGGUCAAAUAGAUGUAAUUAAUAAAACAUAAAUGUAUUUUAAAAAUAUAUCUAUGAAAAAUAGGAGUAGUAUAAGAGCGAUUCCAACAAUAGGUUGUAGUAGGAGUUUUUAGAAUUAAAAUAAAAGAUAUAAAACCAUAAAUACACGAAAGAAAAUGAGUAAAAAUUCUAAAAACUGAAUUUUUAAGAACCGAUAUAAUACUAAAAAACAAGUAUCAAUCUGUUAUGUUUUACGGAAUUUGUAUCAUAUAACCUGAAAAACUUUAAUUAGCUCUAUACACAUAACAACCUAAUAGCUAGAAUAUGUUAUAUAUUAACUGAAUUAUGGACGAAAAUAGAUUUUGGAAGCAAAUCGACCAGUCUUCUAUAUCUCUCCUUUUUCUUGAAUUUUUUACACUUUAAGACACAUUUUCACUUUCAAUUUACACAAUUAAACAGAUGUUGCUAGAGGCACACUUUAUCUGUGUUGAUUGUCUCUUAUACCCCCAAUUUUGUUUCUUCUUAACAUUCCUUCUUUCGUAACUAAAUUUAUUUUAACUAAAACAACAAUUCGUCCAAUUGGACACACAUCUCAAUUAAAGAAAUAUAGUAAAAUACAAUUCAUCCAUUAUCUCUCAUAUUGACAAAAAAUUGAAAUCACUUUCAUAGUUUCUCAAACCCUAAUUGCAACGAUCCCCUUUCAUCAUCUAUCCCCGAACCUCGUUCAGCUUCGAGAAACCAUGGCUAAAUCGAAGUCGAAGAAGAAAGGGAACCUCAAUAGUCAACCUUCUUCACCGCAGAUCGACAACAUAGGUUUAUAUUUUGAAUUCUUUAAUCUUUUUGACUUUAAAGAGUUCUCGAAAUCCCUAACAUUUAUAUGUUUUUCUUGUUUGUGUUGUAAUUUUCCAAUUGGAUCGAAUCUCUGAGAUUUUGUGGAUGGGAGAGAUAAUGAACAGAUCUGAGAGCUCCAGUGUGGAGAGGGCAACGUGACGGCGAGCAUGUCCAAGCUCCGUUGUGGAGAGGAUGACAGGACGGCCAGCAGAUCUGAGCUCCGGUGCGGAGAUGACGCGGCGACGAAUAGGUCAUGCCUCUAUUGUGGAAAAGAAGACGACAAGCUCUCGUGGUGUGAAGAUGGAUUUUUGGGCCAAACUUGACAUGACCACAACAAGAAUCCAUGGAUGAUGCAGCAAGAUAUUUUGACUACAUGACCACAUCAAGAGUCUAUGACGUAGUCCACAACAACAAUCUCCUAAACAUCAAUCUUGUUCCCACCCAUUAAGAGUCUAUGGAUGAUGCAGCUCAACACCUAUCCAGAGUCCAAAACGUGGUUUAUCUACUUUCAUUUGGUCUUGUAUUUCAUAACUAUGUCAACAUAUGUAAUUACUAUAGACCAAACUUAGGGAAAGUAUGGAUGUUAACGUUUUAGUGUCUGUGUCCAGUUUUGAUGUCCAUGUCCACAUAUAGUUUAUAACUUUAUUAUCCAAGUGUCCAUAUCCACAUUUUUAUAGAUGAUUGAGAAUAUAAGAACGUUGUCAACGAAAACACAUCCAUGAAACUUCUUAAAAGAGUUUUUGUAUUUUUGUAUC